rnacentral:rRNA from 1 species
ACACGUAGGGGGCGAGCGUUGUUCGGAAUUACUGGGCGUAAAGGGCAUGUAGGCGGCUUGGAAAGCCUGGCGUGAAAGUCUGCAGCUUAACUGCAGGGGUGCGCUGGGAACUGCUGAGCUUGAGUGACGGAGAGGGAGCUGGAAUUCCUGGUGUAGGGGUGAAAUCUGUAGAUAUCAGGAAGAACACCGAUGGCGAAGGCAAGCUCCUGGCCGAUGACUGACGCUGAGGUGCGAAAGUGUGGGGAUCAAACAGGAUUAGAUACCCUGGUAGUCCACACAGUCAACGAUGUGCACUAGGUGCUGGGGCGGUAGCUUCGGUGCCGGAGCGAACGUGGUAAGUGCACCGCCUGGGGAGUAUGCUCGCAAGGGUGAA